GGGUUGUGAGGUUAAGCGACUAAGCGUACACGGUGGAUGCCUAGGCAGUCAGAGGCGAUGAAGGGCGUGCUAAUCUGCGAUAAGCGUCGGUAAGCUGAUAUGAAGCGUUAUACCCGACGAUACCCGAAUGGGGGAAACCCAGUGUGUUUCGACACACUAUCAUGACAUGAAUACAUAGUGUCAUGAGGCGAACCGGGGGAACUGAAACAUCUCAGUACCCCGAGGAAAAGAAAUCAACCGAGAUUCCCCCAGUAGCGGCGAGCGAACGGGGAGGAGCCCAGAACCUGAAUCAGUUUGUGUGUUAGUGGAAGCGUCUGGAAAGUCGCACAGUAAAGGGUGAUAGUCCCGUACACAAAAAUGCACAAGCUGUGAGUUCGAUGAGUAGGGCGGGACACGUGACAUCCUGUCUGAAUAUGGGGGGACCAUCCUCCAAGGCUAAAUACUCCUGACUGACCGAUAGUGAACCAGUACCGUGAGGGAAAGGCGAAAAGAACCCCGGCGAGGGGAGUGAAAUAGAACCUGAAACCGUGUACGUACAAGCAGUGGGAGCCUACUUGUUAGGUGACUGCGUACCUUUUGUAUAAUGGGUCAGCGACUUAUAUUCUGUAGCAAGGUUAACCGUAUAGGGGAGCCGCAGGGGAAACCGAGUCUUAACUGGGCGUUAAGUUGCAGGGUAUAGACCCGAAACCCGGUGAUUCUAGCCAUGGGCAGGUUGAAGGUUGGGUAACACUAACUGGAGGACCGAACCGACUAAUGUUGAAAAAUUAGCGGAUGACUUGUGGCUGGGGGGUGAAAGGCCAAUCAAACCGGGAGAUAGCUGGUUCUCCCCGAAAGCUAUUUAGGUAGCGCCUCGUGAACUCAUCUUCGGGGGGUAGAGCACUGUUUCGGCUAGGGGGUCAUCCCGACUUACCAACCCGAUGCAAACUACGAAUACCGAAGAAUGUUAUCACGGGAGACACACGGCGGGUGCUAACGUUCGUCGUGAAGAGGGAAACAACCCAGACCGCCAGCUAAGGUCCCAAAGUCAUGGUUAAGUGGGAAACGAUGUGGGAAGGCACAGACAGCCAGGAUGUUGGCUUAGAAGCAGCCAUCAUUUAAAGAAAGCGUAAUAGCUCACUGGUCGAGUCGGCCUGCGCGGAAGAUGUAACGGGGCUAAACCAUGCACCGAAGCUGCGGCAGCGACACUUAGGUGUUGUUGGGUAGGGGAGCGUUCUGUAAGCCUGCGAAGGUGGCCUGUGAGGGCUGCUGGAGGUAUCAGAAGUGCGAAUGCUGACAUAAGUAACGAUAAUGCGGGUGAAAAACCCGCACGCCGGAAGACCAAGGGUUCCUGUCCAACGUUAAUCGGGGCAGGGUGAGUCGACCCCUAAGGCGAGGCUGAAAAGCGUAGUCGAUGGGAAACAGGUUAAUAUUCCUGUACUCGGUGUUACUGCGAAGGGGGGACGGAGAAAGCUAGGUUAUCCGGGCGACGGUUGUCCCGGUUUAAGCGUGAAGGUGGAUGACUUUGGUAAAUCCGGGUCAUCGUUAACACUGAGGCGUGAUGACGAGUCACUACGGUGAUGAAGUAACCGAUGCUACGCUUCCAGGAAAAGCCUCUAAGCUCCAGGUAACAUCAAAUCGUACCCCCAAACCGACACAGGUGGUCAGGUAGAGAAUACUCAGGCGCUUGAGAGAACUCGGGUGAAGGAACUAGGCAAAAAUGGUGCCGUAACUUCGGGAGAAGGCACGCUGAUGGUAAGUGAAGUGACUUGCUCAUGGAGCUGAAAUCAGUCGAAGAUACCAGCUGGCUGCAACUGUUUAAUAAAAACACAGCACUGUGCAAACACGAAAGUGGACGUAUACGGUGUGACGCCUGCCCGGUGCCGGAAGGUUAAUUGAUGGGGUCAGCCGCAAGGCGAAGCUCUUGAUCGAAGCCCCGGUAAACGGCGGCCGUAACUAUAACGGUCCUAAGGUAGCGAAAUUCCUUGUCGGGUAAGUUCCGACCUGCACGAAUGGCGUAAUGAUGGCCAGGCUGUCUCCACCCGAGACUCAGUGAAAUUGAACUCGCUGUGAAGAUGCAGUGUACCCGCGGCAAGACGGAAAGACCCCGUGAACCUUUACUAUAGCUUGACACUGAACCUUGAGCCUUGAUGUGUAGGAUAGGUGGGAGGCUUUGAAGUGUGGACGCCAGUCUGCAUGGAGCCAACCUUGAAAUACCACCCUUUAAUGUUUGAUGUUCUAACGUGGACCCGUGAUCCGGGUUGCGGACAGUGUCUGGUGGGUAGUUUGACUGGGGCGGUCUCCUCCCAAAGCGUAACGGAGGAGCACGAAGGUUAGCUAAUCCUGGUCGGACAUCAGGAGGUUAGUGCAAAGGCAUAAGCUAGCUUGACUGCGAGAGUGACAGCUCGAGCAGGUGCGAAAGCAGGUCUUAGUGAUCCGGUGGUUCUGAAUGGAAGGGCCAUCGCUCAACGGAUAAAAGGUACUCCGGGGAUAACAGGCUGAUACCGCCCAAGAGUUCAUAUCGACGGCGGUGUUUGGCACCUCGAUGUCGGCUCAUCACAUCCUGGGGCUGAAGUAGGUCCCAAGGGUAUGGCUGUUCGCCAUUUAAAGUGGUACGCGAGCUGGGUUUAGAACGUCGUGAGACAGUUCGGUCCCCUAUCUGCCGUGGGCGUUGGAAGAUUGAGAGGGGUUGCUCCUAGUACGAGAGGACCGGAGUGAACGCACCACUGGUGUACGGGUUGUGAUGCCAAUUGCAUUGCCCGGUAGCUAAGUGCGGAAGAGAUAACCGCUGAAAGCAUCUAAGCGGGAAACUUGCCUCGAGAUGAGUCUUCCCUGGGCACUAGAUGCCCCUGAAGGGCCGUUGAAGACGACGACGUAGAUAGGCUGGGUGUGUAAGCGUAGCGAUACGUUGAGCUAACCAGUACUAAUGACCCGAGAGGCUUAACCUUACAACACCGAAGGUGUUU
rnacentral:rRNA from 1 species